rnacentral:rRNA from 1 species
GACGAACGCUGGCGGCGUGCCUAACACAUGCAAGUCGAACGGAAAGGCCCUGCUUUUGUGGGGUGCUCGAGUGGCGAACGGGUGAGUAACACGUGAGUAACCUGCCCUUGACUUUGGGAUAACUUCAGGAAACUGGGGCUAAUACCGGAUAGGAGCUCCUGCUGCAUGGUGGGGGUUGGAAAGUUUCGGCGGUUGGGGAUGGACUCGCGGCUUAUCAGCUUGUUGGUGGGGUAGUGGCUUACCAAGGCUUUGACGGGUAGCCGGCCUGAGAGGGGGACCGGCCACAUUGGGACUAAGAUACGGCCCAGACUCCUACGGGAGGCAGCAGUGGGGAAUAUUGCACAAUGGGCGGAAGCCUGAUGCAGCAACGCCGCGUGCGGGAUGACGGCCUUCGGGUUGUAAACCGCUUUCGCCUGUGACGAAGCGUGAGUGACGGUAAUGGGUAAAGAAGCACCGGCUAACUACGUG